UGGCGGACGGGUGAGUAAUGUCUGGGAAACUGCCCGAUGGAGGGGGAUAACUACUGGAAACGGUAGCUAAUACCGCAUAACGUCGCAAGACCAAAGAGGGGACCUUCGGGCCUCUUGCCAUCGGAUGUGCCCAGAUGGGAUUAGCUAGUAGGUAAGGUAACGGCUUACCUAGGCGACGAUCCCUAGCUGGUCUGAGAGGAUGAUCAGCCACACUGGGACUGAGACACGGCCCAG
rnacentral:rRNA from 1 species